ensembl:lncRNA
GUUUCAUCCACUGCAGGUUUCCACUUGGAGCUCAAAUGCAGUGCGUUGGAUCGCAGACCAAGGAUAGACUGGCACAUUACCUGUACUCAGCAAAUGUAUGACAAAGGAGUGAAGAGGAGAAGCCAGAGAGGAACACCAGGCUGAUAAAACUGGAACCAUAAGUCUUUUCUAUGCACUAUAUUACAAAAAGAAGUGACACUGGAGAAGGGGAACGGAUGAUUACUAAAACUGUAAUUCAAUCGUCAAGUUCUGAAGAUGUCAUAAAAAAGGCUUCUGCUUUACUUGCACAUGGCAGAUACUCUCAGGAUGCCUCAAAUGAACUCUCUCUGGGUAUUCAGUCUCUCCUUUGGCAUUAUUUUAUAUACAGUAAAAA